rnacentral:rRNA from 1 species
AUUGAACGCUGGCGGCAGGCCUAACACAUGCAAGUCGAACGGUAGCACAGAGAGCUUGCUCUCGGGUGACGAGUGGCGGACGGGUGAGUAAUGUCUGGGAAACUGCCCGAUGGAGGGGGAUAACUACUGGAAACGGUAGCUAAUACCGCAUAACGUCGCAAGACCAAAGUGGGGGACCUUCGGGCCUCACACCAUCGGAUGUGCCCAGAGGGGAUUAGCUAGUAGGUGGGGUAAUGGCUCACCUAGGCGACGAUCCCUAGCUGGUCUGAGAGGAUGACCAGCCACACUGGAACUGAGACACGGUCCAGACUCCUACGGGAGGCAGCAGUGGGGAAUAUUGCACAAUGGGCGCAAGCCUGAUGCAGCCAUGCCGCGUGUAUGAAGAAGGCCUUCGGGUUGUAAAGUACUUUCAGCGGGGAGGAGGGCGGUGAAGUUAAUAACUUCACCGAUUGACGUUACCCGCAGAAGAAGCACCGGCUAACUCCGUGCCAGCCGCCGCCGUAA